UGAUGCUUGAACUGUUGGUAGGGAAGACACAUAAGCUAUUCUUUGGAAAGGGGUGAGCCAGUCGACCAAAUGGAAGACACCUAGAGUUCUGUUUCUACAGAUAUGUAAAGCUGGAUAGCAUCUAAGACUGCAGUAGACUAUGAGAGGAAGAAGAAGAGGAAGGGCUGCUCAGCUGUUGUGAUACCCAGAUGGGGCUGCUUACACCUGCUUCUGCUGGUAAAUAACUCUAGCCUCAACAACUUUGCAAUUUGUUUUAAAGUGAAGUCUGUCUAAUUACAAUAGUUAUCAAUCGUAAAACUUUUACUAAGGCAUUCAUCAGAAUACAUUUUAACUUUAUUAAUUUUAACUGUGCUGAUCCUAUUGUCUUAAAAUAUUUUUAUUGUUGCCCAGUUUGGUGGUAUAAGCUUAUUAAUACUAGCAUAUGUAAAAUUGAGGCAAGAGGAUCAUGAGUUCAAGGCUAGCCAUGGCUAGAUAGUAAGUCUGAAUCAGACUGUGAUGUAUAAUGAGAAUCUGCCUGAAAAAAACAAAAGUAAUGUGAUGCUCACAUGAUGCUCAACAAUGAUGGCCAAAGUUAGAAUAACUAGAAAGAAAGCCAGAGAGAUUUGCUUGUUUGAGUCUUUGUGAUUUUCCUUACUUUCAAGAUUACCUCAUGUCCCUAAGUGGGUAUUUGUUUCUUCUUCACCAAUUUAUUUUCAUAAUCCAGUUAGGAGGAAGCGGAAAAGGAUGGUGAAGAAAGGGAGAAGUUUGUGUGUCAGCUGCAUUUUAAGAAAAAUUUUCACUCUGCCUCAAGAAACUUGUGCUUACAUUCUAUUCUAUCUUGUGCAGAACCAGGCUGCUCAACCAAGCCAGGUGUAAACCAGUGUUCUGUAAAUGAUCAUCUAAAAUUGGUGUUCCAUCAUCGUGGGGGAAGAGCACAUUUGGAGGUGUUCUUCAGUCCGACAAAUUUCUCCAUUCAUUAUCUGGAUGAAUAUUACUGAAUCUUCACAAUUGGGCUAGACCAAGAUUGUGGAUACCUCUUGGUGGAUACC
rnacentral:lncRNA from 1 species